GGGUAUAAGGACAGAUUGCCUGCAACAUCUGCCAUCCCCUGGAUUCCUGGGAUUGAUUUGGGUGUUUUGACUCCUAGGCAGGUGUCCCUCAUCCUCUCCCAUCUACACACACACACACACACACACACACACACACACACACACACACACACUCAUCCCUCCGAAGCUCUGUAACCCUUCUAAGAGGGCAACUUUCCCUUCCCUCAGACACUGCUCAUCUGGCUGCUUUAACUGAUGACACAGUGUCUGAGGCUGGGGGUUGGAGCAGUAGCCGCACUGCCUGCUGGGACCACCACUCAAGCUUUCGUAGGAGAAUGUGGGGUAGUCAGGCUUCCAAGACUCCAGCCCCACUCAAAUGAGUCAUGGUACGUGGCCGUCUGACUUUCCUA
rnacentral:snRNA from 1 species